AGUAAACAAAAAUCAAUUUCCUUGGUCCAUUAUUCCAGUAUAUAAUUCUGUGGACAACAGAACUUCAAAGCACAAGCUAAUGGGGCGUACAAUGAUCCUAGUGUAUAAUAACUUAUAAUUCCUAUAUUUUUACAAUUUUUGGCAGCAUUUUGCCAUUUUUUGUGAUUCUUUUU